rnacentral:rRNA from 1 species
AACUUCUGAAUGUUGACCUCGGAUCAGGUAGGAAUACCCGCUGAACUUAAGCAUAUCAAUAAGCGGAGGAAAAGAAACCAACAGGGAUUGCCCUAGUAACGGCGAGUGAAGCGGCAACAGCUCAAAUUUGAAAUCUGGCUUUCGGGCCCGAGUUGUAAUUUGUAGAGGAUGAUUUUGAUGCGGUGCCUUCCGAGUUCCCUGGAACGGGACGCCAUAGAGGGUGAGAGCCCCGUCUGGUUGGAUGCCAAAUCUCUGUAAAUCUCCUUCGACGAGUCGAGUAGUUUGGGAAUGCUGCUCUAAAUGGGAGGUAUAUGUCUUCUAAAGCUAAAUACCGGCCAGAGACCGAUAGCGCACAAGUAGAGUGAUCGAAAGAUGAAAAGCACUUUGAAAAGAGAGUUAAAAAGUACGUGAAAUUGUUGAAAGGGAAGCGUUUAUGACCAGACUUGGGCUUGGUUAAUCAUCUGGGGUUCUCUCCAGUGCACUUUUCCAGCCCAGGCCAGCAUCAGUUUUCGCCGGGGGAUAAAGACUUCGGGAAUGUGGCUCCCCUCGGGGAGUGUUAUAGCCCGUUGUGUAAUACCCUGGCGGGGACUGAGGUUCGCGCUUCUGCAAGGAUGCUGGCGUAAUGGUCAUCAACGACCCGUCU